UACGUAGGGUGCAAGCGUUGUCCGGAAUUAUUGGGCGUAAAGAGCUCGUAGGCGGUUUGUCGCGUCUGCUGUGAAAACUCGGGGCUUAACCCCGGGCCUGCAGUGGGUACGGGCAGACUAGAGUGCGGUAGGGGAGACUGGAAUUCCUGGUGUAGCGGUGAAAUGCGCAGAUAUCAGGAGGAACACCGGUGGCGAAGGCGGGUCUCUGGGCCGUAACUGACGCUGAGGAGCGAAAGCAUGGGGAGCAAACAGG
rnacentral:rRNA from 1 species